rnacentral:rRNA from 1 species
UUGAACGCUGGCGGCAUGCCUUACCCAUGCAAGUCGAACGGCAGCAUGAUCUAGCUUGCUAGAUUGAUGGCGAGUGGCGAACGGGUGAGUAAUACAUCGGAACGUGCCCUGUAGUGGGGGAUAACUAGUCGAAAGAUUAGCUAAUACCGCAUACGACCUGAGGGUGAAAGUGGGGGACCGCAAGGCCUCAUGCUAUAGGAGCGGCCGAUGUCUGAUUAGCUAGUUGGUGAGGUAAAGGCUCACCAAGGCGACGAUCAGUAGCUGGUCUGAGAGGACGAUCAGCCACACUGGGACUGAGACACGGCCCAGACUCCUACGGGAGGCAGCAGUGGGGAAUUUUGGACAAUGGGCGAAAGCCUGAUCCAGCAAUGCCGCGUGUGUGAAGAAGGCCUUCGGGUUGUAAAGCACUUUUGUCCGGAAAGAAAUGGCUCUGGUUAAUACCUGGGGUCGAUGACGGUACCGGAAGAAUAAGGACCGGCUAACUACGUG